UACGAACUGUGCGAACGUUAUUCGGAAUCACUGGGCUUACAGGGUGCGUAGGCGGCUCAACAAGUCAGGUGUGAAAGCCCCCGGCUCAACCGGGGAACUGCGCUUGAAACUGUUAGGCUCGAGUCAGCUAGAGGUACACGGAACUUCCCAGUGGAGCGGUGAAAUGUGUUGAUAUUGGAAGGAACACCGGAGGCGAAAGCGGUGUACUGGGGCUGGGUCUGACGCUGAGGCACGAAAGCCAGGG
rnacentral:rRNA from 1 species